rnacentral:rRNA from 1 species
ACACAUGCAAGUCGAACGGAAAGGCCCUGCUUGCAGGGUACUCGAGUGGCGAACGGGUGAGUAACACGUGGGUGAUCUGCCCUGCACUUCGGGAUAAGCCUGGGAAACUGGGUCUAAUACCGGAUAGGAGCCAUUUUUAGUGUGAUGGUUGGAAAGUUUUUCGGUGUAGGAUGAGCUCGCGGCCUAUCAGCUUGUUGGUGGGGUAAUGGCCUACCAAGGCGGCGACGGGUAGCCGGCCUGAGAGGGUGGACGGCCACAUUGGGACUGAGAUACGGCCCAGACUCCUACGGGAGGCAGCAGUGGGGAAUAUUGCACAAUGGGCGCAAGCCUGAUGCAGCGACGCCGCGUGGGGGAUGACGGCCUUCGGGUUGUAAACUCCUUUCGCUAGGGACGAAGCUUUUUGUGACGGUACCUAGAUAAGAAGCACCGGCUAACUACGUGCCAGCAGCCGCGGUAAUACGUAGGGUGCGAGCGUUGUCCGGAAUUACUGGGCGUAAAGGGCUCGUAGGUGGUUUGUCGCGUCGUCUGUGAAAUUCCGGGGCUUAACUCCGGGCGUGCAGGCGAUACGGGCAUAACUUGAGUACUGUAGGGGUAACUGGAAUUCCUGGUGUAGCGGUGAAAUGCGCAGAUAUCAGGAGGAACACCGAUGGCGAAGGCAGGUUACUGGGCAG